UACGAAGGGGGCUAGCGUUGUUCGGAAUUACUGGGCGUAAAGCGCACGUAGGCGGAUCGAUCAGUCAGGGGUGAAAUCCCAGAGCUCAACUCUGGAACUGCCUUUGAUACUGUCGGUCUAGAGUAUGGAAGAGGUGAGUGGAAUUCCGAGUGUAGAGGUGAAAUUCGUAGAUAUUCGGAGGAACACCAGUGGCGAAGGCGGCUCACUGGUCCAUUACUGACGCUGAGGUGCGAAAGCGUGGGGAGCGAACAGG
rnacentral:rRNA from 1 species